rnacentral:lncRNA from 1 species
UCAGCAUUAUGCAAUGUAUCCAUGUAACCUUCAUGCGUACCCACUGAAUGUAAAAGUUGAAAUUGUCUUUUAAAAUUGCAGUUUCCAUAGAACUCUUACAUCUCAAUAAAAUAAUCCAAUUAAAAACGUGUAUUUCUCACUGUGGCCUUUUUACUAUUUACUUGAACUUCUGGUUUGAGAUGUUUCCACUCUGUUUGCAAUCAGAUUUCUAGACUAUUUAGACUUUUUAAUCCUUUUGAAAAAUGAAUACAUGAAAAAUUAAUUUU